rnacentral:rRNA from 1 species
GACAGAGGUGCCAAGCGUUAGGCGGAAUCACUGGGCUUAAAGCGUGUGUAGGCGGGUGCCUCAGUACCUUGUGAAAUCCCACGGCUCAACCGUGGAACUGCUGGGUAUACUGGGUGCCUUGGGUCAUCUAGGGGCUGCCGGAACAAAUGGUGGAGCGGUGAAAUGCGUAGAUAUCAUUUGGAACGCCAACGGCGAAAGCAGGCAGCUGGGGAUGCACCGACGCUGAGACACGAAAGCCAGGGGAGCGAACGGG